UACGGAGGGUGCAAGCGUUAUCCGGAUUCACUGGGUUUAAAGGGUGCGUAGGCGGGCAGGUAAGUCAGUGGUGAAAUCUCCGGGCUUAACCCGGAAACUGCCGUUGAUACUAUCUGUCUUGAAUAUUGUGGAGGUAAGCGGAAUAUGUCAUGUAGCGGUGAAAUGCUUAGAUAUGACAUAGAACACCCAUUGCGAAGGCAGCUUACUACACGAUCAUUGACGCUGAGGCACGAAAGCGUGGGGAGCAAACAGG
rnacentral:rRNA from 1 species